rnacentral:rRNA from 1 species
GACAGAGGGUGCAAACGUUGCUCGGAAUUACUGGGCGUAAAGCGCGUGUAGGUGGCGAGGCAAGUCGGGUGUGAAAGCCCUGGGCUCAACCCAGGAAGUGCACUCGAUACUGCCUAGCUAGAGUCCCGGAGAGGUUGGUGGAACUCUCGGUGUAGAGGUGAAAUUCGUAGAUAUCGAGAAGAACACCGGUGGCGAAGGCGGCCAACUGGACGGUGACUGACACUGAGACGCGAAAGCGUGGGGAGCAAACAGG